CAGACCCUCCCCUCCCCCUCCUCAGAAAGCCUCCUUAGGGGCUCAAUCCAUUUCUUCUGUCAGGAGAUGGAGGCACAGGGAGAGAAAGAAGUGGGAGAGGAGGAUGCUGGAGAGGCAGGGAGGUGGCACAAAUGAAGGCAGAGGGUCCCAUCACUGACUUUCAAUCAACACAGUGCUGCUUCUGUUCACAAAGUCUCUGAGGUACAUGGAACUUCUCUGAACCUAAGGUUCCUCAGAUUGAUGACUUAUCUCCAUUUUUCAAAUAAGAGGCAGGCCAGCAGAGGGCCAGAAUAUAACUACUGAACAAAAUUCCAUGCAAUCAGAAGACCUACGACUAAUGAAGACAAACAUUCUUAGGGAAUAUGAGAG
rnacentral:lncRNA from 1 species